ACCACAGAACACGAACGGUCCCAAUGGAAA
rnacentral:piRNA from 1 species